GACGAACGCUGGCGGCGUGCUUAACACAUGCAAGUCGAGCGGAGCGGCGAACGGGUGAGUAACGCUAGAGUAACUGCCCCCCUCUCUGGGAUAACAGUUGGAAACGGCUGCUAAUACCGGAUAGGGGGGGAUGAGUCGCGUCCUAUCUGCUUGUUGGUUGGUUAGUGGCCUACCAAGGCGACGACGGGUCGCCGGCCUGGUAGGGCGACCGGCCACAUUGGGCUGGGAUACAGCCCAAACUCCUACGGGAGGCAGCGGUGGGGAAUAGUGCGCAAUGGUGGAAACCCUGAUGCAGCAACGCCGCGUGCGGGAUGACGGCCUUCGGGUUGUAAACCGCUUUUAGCCAGGACGCGGUAGUGGCAGAAGAAGCACCGGCUAACUACGUGCCAGCAGCCGCGGUAAUAC
rnacentral:rRNA from 1 species